rnacentral:rRNA from 1 species
AGUCGAACGAUGAACCGCCUUCGGGUGGGGAUUAGUGGCGAACGGGUGAGUAACACGUGGGCAAUCUGCCCUGCACUCUGGGACAAGCCCUGGAAACGGGGUCUAAUACCGGAUACUGACCUGCCGAGGCAUCUCGGCGGGUCGAAAGCUCCGGCGGUGCAGGAUGAGCCCGCGGCCUAUCAGCUUGUUGGUGAGGUAAUGGCUCACCAAGGCGACGACGGGUAGCCGGCCUGAGAGGGCGACCGGCCACACUGGGACUGAGACACGGCCCAGACUCCUACGGGAGGCAGCAGUGGGGAAUAUUGCACAAUGGGCGCAAGCCUGAUGCAGCGACGCCGCGUGAGGGAUGACGGCCUUCGGGUUGUAAACCUCUUUCAGCAGGGAAGAAGCGAGAGUGACGGUACCUGCAGAAGAAGCGCCGGCUAACUACGUGCCAGCAGCCGCGGUAAUACGUAGGGCGCAAGCGUUGUCCGGAAUUAUUGGGCGUAAAGAGCUCGUAGGCGGCUUGUCGCGUCGGUUGUGAAAGCCCGGGGCUUAACCCCGGGUCUGCAGUCGAUACGGGCAGGCUAGAGUUCGGUAGGGGAGAUCGGAAUUCCUGGUGUAGCGGUGAAAUGCGCAGAUAUCAGGAGGAACACCGGUGGCGAAGGCGGAUCUCUGGGCCGAUACUGACGCUGAGGAGCGAAAGCGUGGGGAGCGAACAGGAUUAGAUACCCUGGUAGUCCACGCCGUAAACGGUGGGCACUAGGUGUGGGCAACAUUCCACGUUGUCCGUGCCGCAGCUAACGCAUUAAGUGCCCCGCCUGGGGAGUACGGCCGCAAGGCUAAAACUCAAGGAAUUGACGGGGGCCCGCACAAGCGGCGGA